rnacentral:rRNA from 1 species
AGAGUUUGAUCCUGGCUCAGGAUGAACGCUGGCGGCGUGCUUAACACAUGCAAGUCGAACGAUUAAGACGGCUUCGGCCGUGUAUAGAGUGGCGAACGGGUGAGUAACACGUGACCAACCUGCCCCGCGCUCCGGGACAACCGCUGGAAACGGCGGCUAAUACCGGAUGCUCCGGGGAGGCCCCAUGGCCUCCCCGGGAAAGCCUUAACGGCGCGGGAUGGGGUCGCGGCCCAUUAGGUAGACGGCGGGGUAACGGCCCACCGUGCCCGCGAUGGGUAGCCGGACUGAGAGGUCGACCGGCCACAUUGGGACUGAGAUACGGCCCAGACUCCUACGGGAGGCAGCAGUGGGGAAUUUUGCGCAAUGGGGGCAACCCUGACGCAGCAACGCCGCGUGCGGGACGAAGGCCUUCGGGUUGUAAACCGCUUUCAGCAGGGAAGACAUAGACGGUACCUGCAGAAGAAGCUCCGGCUAACUACGUGCCAGCAGCCGCGGUAAUACGUAGGGGGCGAGCGUUAUCCGGAUUCAUUGGGCGUAAAGCGCGCGUAGGCGGCCGCCUAAGCGGAACCUCUAAUCCCGGGGCUCAACCUCGGGCCGGGUUCCGGACUGGGCGGCUCGAGUGCGGUAGAGGCAGGCGGAAUUCCCGGUGUAGCGGUGGAAUGCGCAGAUAUCGGGAAGAACACCGAUGGCGAAGGCAGCCUGCUGGGCCGCCACUGACGCUGAGGCGCGAAAGCUGGGGGAGCGAACAGGAUUAGAUACCCUGGUAGUCCCAGCCGUAAACGAUGGACGCUAGGUGUGGGGGGACCAUCCCCCCGUGCCGCAGCCAACGCAUUAAGCGUCCCGCCUGGGGAGUACGGCCGCAAGGCUAAAACUCAAAGGAAUUGACGGGGGCCC